UGACUGUAAUGUCUCUCAGGACUCUCAGA
rnacentral:piRNA from 1 species